rnacentral:tRNA from 1 species
GAAUUGAAAGCUAAAUUAUAAGCGCCGAUCUUGUAAAUCGAAGAUAGAGACACCUCUCAAUUCU